rnacentral:tRNA from 1 species
CAAAAUGUGGCUAAAUUAGCAAAGCACCUCCCUUACAUCGAGAAGAUAUCCGCGCAAUUCGGAUCAUUUUGA